rnacentral:tRNA from 1 species
GGCGCGAUAGCAAAGCGGUUAUGCAGUGGCCUGCAAAGCCAUCUAGACCGGUUCGACUCCGGUUCGCGCCUCCA